UACGUAGGGGGCAAGCGUUGUCCGGAUUUAUUGGGCGUAAAGAGCGUGUAGGCGGCUUGGUAGGUCUGCUGUGAAAACUCGAGGCUCAACCUCGAGCUGUCGGCGGAAACCACUUGGCUAGAGUCCGGAAGAGGAGAGUGGAAUUCCUGGUGUAGCGGUGAAAUGCGCAGAUAUCAGGAAGAACACCGAUGGCGAAGGCAGCUUCUUGGUCCAUAUCUGACGUUGAGGCGCGAAAGCGUGGGGAGCAAACAGG
rnacentral:rRNA from 1 species